UUGCACGUGUCUUUGGGACCCAUCGGCCCUGGCAGUCUCCCCUCGCAGCCUGGAGGAGCGUAUCCUUGCUUAUGGGCAAAGCUGGCACCGUUUACCUGGGGUCAGAUUCUGACUUGCACAAGUUAACACUC